UACGGAGGGUGCGAGCGGUAAUCGGAAUUACUGGGCGUAAAGCGCACGUCGGCGGUCGGAUAAGUCGGAUGUGAAAGCCCUGGGCUUAACCUGGGAACUGCAUUCGAUAUUGUCUGGCUAGAGUAUGGGAGAGGGAAGCUGAAUUUCCGGUGUAGCGGUGAAAUGCGUAGAUAUCGGAAGGAAUACCAAUGGCGAAGGCAGCUUCCUGGCCCAAUACUGACGCUCAGGUGCGAAAGCGUGGGGAUCAAACAGG
rnacentral:rRNA from 1 species